GGCCCAGGAUCCGUUUCCCCCUAAAAGAUAGGGACCCGUCUGCAGCCAUUAGGCCGGAUGCCAAGUAAAGCGCCCCAUGGUCAAAAAAUCCAAGAUUUCUGUGCUGGCACCAGCCCCUGAGCCACGUGUUUAUCAGGUGGGCUUUCCGUGCCCUCUCAGUACCCCUCCCUGCCACCGUAGGGAUAGAUGAAAACACCACCUGUAGAUGAAAACACCACCUGUGAGCGAAAACACCACCUGUAUGCCAAACAGCAUCAAACAAACACCACCUGCCCUCGGCUCUGGGCAGCGGUGGGCCCCUUUGGAGCCAGCUGAAACUGGCCCUUAUCUAACAUGGGGCAGCUGCUGGAUUCUUCUCACAGGGGCUACCUCUGCAGCCCCCUCUGCUACCAGAACCUUGCCAUGUGAACCCAAUACACUGAGGCAGCUAGGUCAUUACUGGCCUGUAAAGUGUUAAGACUUAAGUUAACUAAUGAAACCCUAAAUGUGAUGGGGGUAGAAGGGACUGGGAUAACAGUGCCACUUUUUGGGGACACCAAGCUGAGACUGGGGAUAAAAUGAUCACUGGGCAAUUACUGUAUGUACCUGAAGCAGGGACUAACUUGUUGGGAAAGGAUUUGAUAAUGAAACUGGGCAUUCAAAUAAAUUGUUAGACUGGAAUAACAGUAUUAUUAACGGGGUACUCUCAGACCCUGAGAGCAAAGAUGUAUUUGCCUUUGAAUGGAAAGACCCUGAGAUCGGGCAGAAGCAGCAAUACAGAUGGACAAUUUUACCUCAGGGGUUUACAGGGCCACCAAUUUAUUUGGGCAAGUUCUAGAACAAAUUUUGGGGUAAUUCCAACCUCCAAAGAGCAUGUUACUGUUACAAUAUGUGGAUGAUCUCUUAUUGUUAGGACAGGAGAAAACAGCUGUGAAGGAAGCCACUAACAAACUAUUUGAAUUUCUGGGAAAACAGGGCUUGAAAGUAUUGGAAAAUAAAUUAAAAUUCAUAGAAAAAGAAGUCAAAUAUUUAGGGCAUCUAGUGUCUGAGGGGGAAUGAAGAAUAAAUCCAGAGAGGAUUCAGGGAAUUGUUGAGCUACCCCUACCCAAAGCCAAAAAGAACUAAAAAGUUUUAAGAGAAAGAGUUUUUUAAGGAAUUAGGAGUGACGAAGUCCAAAGGAAAACAGAUACUCUCUGAUGGGAGAGAAAUGCUGAAGAAAGUGCUAAUGAGGACUGUUAGCUCAAACCCCACCCUUGGAAGCCCUGAUCCAUCCAUUCCGAAAAGGAGGUUGGGAUCUGAUGUGAACAUGGAGAGAACUUAAACUAAAGCCUGAGUGGGACGGACUGUUCCAAGUGCUCCUGACUACUGAGACGACAGUAAGAACAGCUGAGAAAGGGUGGACUCAUACCUGGGAUGCCCACCAUUGCAACUGCGAAUAAAAUAGCUUCCCAGAAGAUCCUGUCUGAAGAAAAUUAUUUGAGAUGUUUCUCACAAUCUUUCCCAGGAUGUCUGCCCCACAGAAGGGAACCAUGAACAACUGCAGCACUCUUCACUGAGAGCCAAAGCCACUGCAAUUGAACUACCUGAUGCAAAGAAACAGGAAAGAAUGGCGUUUUGAGAUACGUGCCACAAGCCUGUCACCAGAAAACAGCCUUCUGAGCUGCGUCCAGCAAAGGCUACCUGAGGUGCCUCCCCAGAAAAAGACUCAGAGUGCAGCUACUGUGUUCUUUCAGCAGAGCAGGGAGCAGAAACAUCCGGCAGCCCCGCUUGCUUAUGUGACUUCCACCCAGAGAACCACAAAGACAGCUCUGGAGAGAGGCUUCUUCUGCCUUUUAGCAGCCUGAGGGGCACCUGGAAGGAAAGGAACACAUUUAUGGCUUCCUAAGCUUGCAGAAUAUUCCCCACACUGAUUCAAAGCAAUUCCUCUGACCUAGCCCCCAGCAUCUUCAGGAGCUUCCUUCUAGAUGCUGGACUGGCAGUGGGGAGAGGUAAAAUUCAUGCCUGCAGACACACAGCUUGCUGCCAGCAGACCUCCAUCUACUCCUCAUUCAAAUUGUGCUGCAGCACUGAAGUUAUGAGCUUUACACCUGCAUUUUACAGCCAAGUAGAGAGUUGCCAGUAAAAUCCAUGGCAAUCUACAUCAGAGCUUAACUCAAAGGUGUCUAAUGGCAAAAUUCCUUGGAAAGGGAUCAGGAACAAGCCCAAAGUCAGCAGCAACCCCAUAAGGAGAUUAAAGUAUCCCAAGUUAUAUUAGUAAGGAUUAAAUAAUAAUAACAUCCAGAAAUUUGGAAAGGACAGAAACCCUCACACAAAUGCACAAGCCAGCUCCUAAGUGGGGGUUAGGAAAAAAACUUUCCCUGUGGGCAAACUAUUCCAAGAUCACUCAUUUCAUGAUCAUUUCCUUUUUUCCCACAAACACUUGGCCUUUGUCAGAAUCACAAAAGACAUUUAGACAUGCACUGGCCCAUCCUAGCAUGGUGCUUCAUGUGCUUCUCAAAGGGUGUCCUAACUAACAAGCCAAGAAAAGGUAAUCACAGACCCUGACACAGCCAGGUGAAACCCCUCGAAAUAACCAACAGAUGGUGCAGGCUGGGAGCUGUGGGCUGGUGAAGGGCUCAACGACAAGCGAGAGGGCACAGAGCCACCGGUGUGUGCUCAGGUUCUCGGUGCAGCAUUUCAGAGCCCAGAACCAACUCCUACAAGCAGCUGCUGCAAACACACUCAGCAGCUACGGGGCUGGCUUCACCUCACAGUGUUUUACAAGCUGCUUUCAAGCAGGAGGCCACUGAGGUCCACAAAUUCUGUGAUGCUUUAUCCAAACAACGUGUCAGCCGAAUGUAUCUACACGGUGGAGAUUUCAAUACAGACCCUCUGGAGCUGGAUGUAAUCCUUCCAGGUCAGGGAGUGUGAUGCCAGACUAGCAGGGGAUUCCAUUCAGUGGAGAAUAUCCCAUAUCCGUUUCUGAAAGACAGCCCCCUGUUCAUCACAGUGUCAUGAUCACAUACAGGUGGUUGUUGGUUUCCUUUUUUUUUUUAUUUUUAACCUUUGGGGGAGGAAAGUGUUUGGGUACUGCUCACUGGAUGGUGGAACAGAAAAGACUUUCCAGGAGUCCUCAGGCUGCUACACAUCAAUGAGUUUCCCUCUUCUACACUUAAAAGUACAUUAAAUUUGAAUCAAAACAGAUAGCAAAUACCACCAAUUUGAAGUGAAAAUAUUAUGGCAUUUUGCAAUUAUGCCCAAAAUCAGCACUAUGAACAGAAUGUUCGGAUUCCAUGACACACCAGACAAUAUAAUUAAUGCCAGCAGAUCUGGUUUCAUGC